rnacentral:rRNA from 1 species
GUGGAUAACCUGCCUUACACAGGGGGAUAAAACCUGGAAACAGGUGCUAAUACCGCAUAGGCGCACAGUCUCGCAUGAGACAGUGUGAAAAACUCCGGUGGUGUAAGAUGGAUCCGCGUCUGAUCAGCCAGUUGGCGGGGUAACGGCCCACCAAAGCGACGAUCAGUAGCCGGCCCGAGAGGGUGAACGGCCACAUUGGGACUGAGACACGGCCCAAACUCCUACGGGAGGCAGCAGUGGGGGAUAUUGCACAAUGGGGGGAACCCUGAUGCAGCAACGCCGCGUGAGUGAAGGAGUCAUUCGUGAUGUAAAGCUCUAUCAGCAGGGAAGAAGAUGACGGUUUCUGAUUAAGAAGCCCCGGCUAACUACGUGCCAGCAGCCGCGGUAAUACGUAGGGGGCAAGCGUUAUCCGGAUUUACUGGGUGUAAAGGGAGCGUAGACGGCGAGACAAGUCUGAAGUGAAAUGCCAGUGCCCAACACUGGAACUGCUUUGGAAACUGCCUGGCUAGAGUGCAGGAGAGGUAAGUGGAAUUUCUAGUGUAGCGGUGAAAUGCGUAGAUAUUAGGAGGAACACCAGUGGCGAAGGCGGCUUACUGGACUGUAACUGAGGUAGCUCGGAAGCGUGGGGAGCAAACAGGAUUAGAUACCCUGGUAGUCCACGCGGUAAACGAUGAUCACUAGUGUCGGGGGACAAAAGUCUCGUGCGCCGCA